rnacentral:tRNA from 1 species
UAAUGAGUAGUUUAAAAAAAACAAUAGGUUGUGGUUCUAUCAAUAGUGUUAGUCUCUCAUUAG